rnacentral:rRNA from 1 species
AUGCAUGUUGAUACUAUAAUGGAAUCUCGUGAUGCAACAUUUUUUGAGAACAUAUUUCCUAUGAAAGAUAUGCAUAGCAUUGCUAGAUUUUCUUCUGAGAUAAUUCCUGAAUCUAGUACAACUGAUGAAUAUUUCGAACAAUCACAUGAGGAAGUCCUUGAGAAGGAUAACAAUGAAGUUCCUAGAAGGAACAAGAGACAAAGGAUUGCAAAAUCCUUUGGUGAUGAUUUCAUUGUAUACCUUGUGGACGACACACCCAAGACGAUUGCAGAAGCAUAUGCAUCUCCGGAUGUAGAUGAUUGGAAAGAAGCUGUUCAUAAUGAGAUGGACUCAAUUCUUUCUAAUGGAACUUGGGAACUAACUGAUAGACCAUAUGGUUGUAAACCUGUGGGCUAUAAGUGGGUGUUCAAAAAGAAGCUAAAGCCUGAUGGUACUAUUGAUAAGUACAAGGCGCGGCUAGUGGCCAAGGGCUACACUCAGAAAGAAGGCGAAGAUUACUUUGACACCUAUUCACCCGUUGCUAGAAUGACCACCAUUCGAGUGUUACUUUCCUUGCCUGCCUCUUAUGGUCUUAUCAUUCAUCAAAUGGAUGUAAAGACAGCUUUUCUCAAUGGAGAGUUGGAAGAGGAGAUCUAUAUGGAUCAGCCUGACGGGUUUGUGGUAAAGGGUGAAGAGAGAAAGGUGUGCAAGUUGUUAAAAUCUUUGUAUGGUCUGAAACAGGCACCUAAGCAAUGGCAUGAGAAGUUUGAAAGAACUCUGACUUCUGCAGGAUUUGUCAUUAACGAGGCUGAUAGGUGUGUUUACUAUCGCAAUGGUGGGGGCAAUAGUGUCAUAUUAUGUUUGUAUGUGGACGACAUACUGAUCUUUGGUACAAACAUUAAUGCAAUUAAUGAGGUCAAGUCUUUUCUAUCAAAAAGUUUUGACAUGAAAGAUCUGGGAGAAGCCGAUGUAAUUCUAAACAUCAAACUUAUUAAGGAUGAGAGUGGGAUUACAUGA